AGCAACUUAGGCCAGCAACAACUCAAGAAUCUACCAGUAAACCAACUUAGGGACAACUCACAACUGAUGUUUUUUUUAUAUACUCAUUUUGUAUUUUGGUUUCAUUUGUUCAGCAAGUUGUAAGAUACUUAUUCUGUAUUUGGAUCUAACCAUAACUAUAUCUUGUAAGAUACACAGUGAACUUUUUCAUAUA